UGUUGUUGUUGUUGUUGUUGUUGUUGUUGUUGUUGUUAUUGGUUUACUCGAUACGAAAUAAGCAAUAACAACGUCAACAACAACAGCAACAGCAACA
rnacentral:misc_RNA from 13 species